UACAGAGGUCCCAAGCGUUGUUCGGAUUCACUGGGCGUAAAGGGUGCGUAGGCGGUUGGGUAAGUCUGAUGUGAAAUCUCACAGCUUAACUGUGAAACUGCAUUGGAUACUAUCCAACUCGAGGAAUGGAGGGGAGACUGGAAUACUUGGUGUAGCAGUGAAAUGCGUAGAUAUCAAGUGGAACACCAGUGGCGAAGGCGAGUCUCUGGACAUUACCUGACGCUGAGGAGCGAAAGUGUGGGGAGCGAACAGG
rnacentral:rRNA from 1 species